UACGUAGGGGGCAAGCGUUGUCCGGAAUUACUGGGCGUAAAGGGCGCGUAGGCGGGAUGGCAAGUCGGUCGUGAAAUCCCUCGGCUCAACUGAGGAUCGUCGAUCGAUACUGCCGUUCUUGAGGAUUGCAGAGGAGACUGGAAUUCCCGGUGUAGCGGUGAAAUGUGUAGAGAUCGGGAGGAACACCGGUGGCGAAGGCGGGUCUCUGGGCAAUUCCUGACGCUGAGGCGCGAAAGCGUGGGGAGCAAACGGG
rnacentral:rRNA from 1 species